ACACUCUGGCUCUUCCACAUUAUGUAUAAAUAUUUUGGCUUUUACUAAUGAUUUCCAAAGGGGAGACUAACUUUGAGUCUUACUUCAUUGUUUGAGGAUUUGCUUUGACAGGGCU
rfam:Otolemur garnettii contig127344, whole genome shotgun sequence.